rnacentral:rRNA from 1 species
UACGGAGGGGGCUAGCGUUGUUCGGAAAUACUGGGCGUAAAGCGCACGUAGGCGGCGCAGCAAGUCAGGGGUGAAUCCCAGGGCUCAACCCUGGGCGUGCAGUGGGUACGGGCAGACUAGAGUGCGGUAGGGGAGACUGGAAUUCCUGGUGUAGCGGUGAAAUGCGCAGAUAUCAGGAGGAACACCGGUGGCGAAGGCGGGUCUCUGGGCCGUAACUGACGCUGAGGAGCGAAAGCAUGGGGAGCGAACAGG